rnacentral:rRNA from 1 species
CCUUCGGGAGGCAGCAGUGGGGGAUAUUGCACAAUGGGGGGAACCCUGAUGCAGCGACGCCGCGUGAGGGAAGAAUGUCCUAUGGAUUGUAAACCUCUUUUGUCAGGGAGCAAAGUCACCCACGUGUGGGUGUUGGAGAGUACCUGAAGAAAAAGCAUCGGCUAACUCCGUGCCAGCAGCCGCGGUAAUACGGAGGAUGCGAGCGUUAUCCGGAUUUAUUGGGUUUAAAGGGUGCGUAGGCGGGUUAUCAAGUCAGCGGUAAAAUCGUGGAGCUCAACUCCAUCCAGCCGUUGAAACUGAUGAUCUUGAGUGGGCGAGAAGUAUGCGGAAUGCGUGGUGUAGCGGUGAAAUGCAUAGAUAUCACGCAGAACUCCGAUUGCGAAGGCAGCAUACCGGCGCCCGACUGACGCUGAAGCACGAAAGCGUGGGUAUCGAACAGGAUUAGAUACCCGAGUAGUC